UUGAUCUCAAAUCAGGUAGGACUACCCGCUGAACUUAAGCAUAUCAAUAAGCGGAGGAAAAGAAACUAACAAGGAUUCCCCUAGUAACUGCGAGUGAAGCGGGAAGAGCUCAAAUUUAAAAUCUGGCGUGCCUCUGGUCGUCCGAGUUGUAGUCUGGAGAAGCGUCUUCCGUGUUGGACCGUGUAUAAGUCUCUUGGAACAGGGCGUCAUAGAGGGUGAGAAUCCCGUCUUUGACACGGACUACCAAUGCUUUGUGAUGCGCUCUCAAAGAGUCGAGUUGUUUGGGAAUGCAGCUCAAAAUGGGUGGUAAAUUCCAUCUAAAGCUAAAUAUAGGCGAGAGACCGAUAGCGAACAAGUACCGUGAGGGAAAGAUGAAAAGCACUUUGGAAAGAGAGUUAAACAGUACGUGAAAUUGCUGAAAGGGAAACGCUUGAAGUCAGUCAUGUCUGCCAGGACUCAGCCUUGCUUCUGCUUGGUGUACUUUCUGGUUUGAUGGGCCAACAUCAAUUUUGACCGUUGGAGAAAGGCUCUGGGAAUGUGGCACCUCCGGGUGUGUUAUAGCCCUUUGUUGUAUACUACGGUUGGGAUUGAGGACCGCAGCACGCCUUCAUGGCCGGGGUUCGCCCACGUACGUGCUUAGGAUGUUGGCAUAAUGGCUUUAACCGACCCGUCUUGAAA
rnacentral:rRNA from 1 species